rnacentral:tRNA from 1 species
AGGAGUGUAGCUCAUUGGUAGAGCACAGAGCUAUUGUGCCUAAAUCCUUGGGUUCAAUCCUCAGCACUUCCA